CCUACGGGAGACAGCAGUAGGGAAUAUUGCUCAAUGGGGGAAACCCUGAAGCAGCAACGCCGCGUGGAGGAUGAAGGUUUUCGGAUUGUAAACUCCUUUUGUUAGAGAAGAUAAUGACGGUAUCUAACGAAUAAGCACCGUCUAACUCCGUGCCAGCAGCCGCGGUAAUACGGAGGGUGCAAGCGUUACUCGGAAUCACUGGGCGGAAAGAGCGCGUAGGCGGGAUAGCAAGUCAGAUGUGAAAUCCUAUGGCUUAACCAUAGAACUGCAUUUGAAACUGUUAUUCUAGAGUAUGGGAGAGGUAGGUGGAAUUCUUGGUGUAGGGGUAAAAUCCGUAGAGAUCAAGAGGAAUACUCAUUGCGAAGGCGACCUGCUAGAACAUAACUGACGCUGAUGCGCGAAAGCGUGGGGAGCAAACAGGAUUAGAUACCCGAGUAGUC
rnacentral:rRNA from 1 species